UAUAUUUUUUUAUUUUGUUGGCACUCUUUGCUUUAGAGUUUGGUUUUUUUUGUUGGUUUUGCUUCAGGUUUUUGGUUGUUUGGUUGUAUUUUCGUUUUUUGUUUUUGUUUUUGGGAAGUUCAAUGGAUGUAUACAACAUAUUAAAUUUUGGUAUGAUGCUUCCUGAGAUUCGGUUCAUUUAUUUAUAGGGGCCCGAAAAACAAGAAGUGCCCGUCACCUGGCCAGUUCCAUUCCUCACCCCCACGACCCCAGUCCACAGAGGAGAAGCUUCGCCAUGCUGGAUUUGCUCACUGGCUGGCCAAGUUCGAAGAGGCUGAACUAAGGAGGCAGCAGUCCUUCCUGCCGAAGCUGCCUCUGAAUGUUGAAGACUGGAGCCCAGGGAAGGCGAUUCCCCUGCCUUGAGCAGGGGCCUGAAUAACAAGAAGUGCCCAUCACCUGGCCAGUUCCACCAAUUCGGCAGCAGCAGCCAAGCAGACAGAGGCGCCCCUUGCGGGAAAUGGCUCCACACAAAGCCGCAGAACCAGAACUUCAAAGGACAAAGGGGCCCGAAUAACAAGAAGUGCCCGUCACCUGGCCAGUUCCAUUCCUCACCCCCACGACCCCAGUCCACAGAGGAGAAGCUUCGUCAUGCUGGAUUUGCUCACUGGCUGGCCAAGUUCGAAGAGGCUGAACUGAGGAGGCAGCAGUCCUUCCUGCCGAAGCUGCCUCUGAAUGUUGAAGACUGGAGCCCAGGGAAGGCGAUUCCCCUGCCUUGAGCAGGUCCACGGCUUCCUCCGGCAAAAACUUUGAAGUCCUGCCUUCCUGCAUUCCCCCGGACCCGCCGUCUCUGAAAGAGAUACGUUGCGGACCGUGACCGCUCUGACUGAUAGGCAACUCUUUGGUGGCGAUGUAUCCAUCUUAGCAAAAGGAGACAAUUUUGCUGCCCUUCCUUUUGCCUCUGUCCUUGCCUCCUCUUGCGCUUCCUGGCCAUGGAGAAGAAGAAGCACCUUCAUGCUGGGUUUGCCCACCGGCUGGCCAAGGUGGAAGAAGCCGAAGUAAGGAGGCAGCAGUCCUUCCUGCACAGAGUAGUGGAGCCCGGCAAGGAUUAUUUCCCCUUUAAAAGGUGCCUUGAAUGAGAAGAAGCCUCCAUCCCCUGGCCAGUGUGGCCCAUCCAUCCGCAACACCAGUGACCAAG